rnacentral:lncRNA from 1 species
GUAAAUAAAAAUUAUGUGUUUAUUAAUUUAUUUUAUUGCCGUUGCCAUUCUUUACGCCCAUUUUUUUUGCAGGUGAAAAAGACACUGAGAAAAAAAACUGUAUGCAAAGUAACCUUAUUAAUAUUACAAUCAUUCCUGAAUUCAUAAAUACAAAGAAAUUAAACAUUAUAAAAAAAAAAGUUAAUAGGAACAUGAAUAUAAAAGAUUUAAAAUAUUUAUGUUCAAGACUGUAUUCAAUUCCAAUACCUAAAAUGCAGUUGUUUUAUACCGACGAGAACAACCCUAUGUCUGUUGAAAUUGUAGAUACAAAUUCAACUCUGUAUACAUAUGGAAUUGACAACAAUUCAAAAAUUAAAAUAAAAAUGGAAGAAUAAAAAAAUAAAAAGGACUAAUUCAUUUAUUUAUUUAUUUAU